rnacentral:rRNA from 1 species
AGAGUUUGAUCCUGGCUCAGGAUGAACGCUGGCGGCGUGCUUAACACAUGCAAGUCGAGCGAAGCACUUUUGCGGAUUUCUUCGGAUUGAAGCAACUGUGACUGAGCGGCGGACUGGUGAGUAACGCGUGGGUAACCUGCCUCAUACAGGGGGAUAACAGUUGGAAACGGCUGCUAAUACCGCAUAAGCGCACAGUACCGCAUGGUACCGUGUGAAAAACUCCGGUGGUAUGAGAUGGACCCGCGUCUGAUUAGCUAGUUGGUGGGGUAACGGCCUACCAAGGCGACGAUCAGUAGCCGACCUGAGAGGGUGACCGGCCACAUUGGGACUGAGACACGGCCCAAACUCCUACGGGAGGCAGCAGUGGGGAAUAUUGCACAAUGGGGGAAACCCUGAUGCAGCGACGCCGCGUGAGCGAUGAAGUAUUUCGGUAUGUAAAGCUCUAUCAGCAGGGAAGAAAAUGACGGUACCUGACUAAGAAGCCCCAGCUAACUACGUGCCAGCAGCCGCGGUAAUACGUAGGGGGCAAGCGUUAUCCGGAUUUACUGGGUGUAAAGGGAGCGUAGACGGCAUGGCAAGCCAGAUGUGAAAGCCCGGGGCUCAACCCCGGGACUGCAUUUGGAACUGUCAGGCUAGAGUGUCGGAGAGGAAAGCGGAAUUCCUAGUGUAGCGGUGAAAUGCGUAGAUAUUAGGAGGAACACCAGUGGCGAAGGCGGCUUUCUGGACGAUGACUGACGUUGAGGCUCGAGAGCGUGGGGAGCAAACAGGAUGAGAUACCCUGGUAGUCCACGCCGUAAACGAU